rnacentral:rRNA from 1 species
UACGGAGGGUGCAAGCGUUAAUCGGAAUCAUUGGGCGUAAAGGGCGCGUAGGCGGAAUGGCAAGUCAGGAGUGAAAUUCCGGAGCUCAACUCCGGAGCUGCACUUGAAACUACCAUUCUCGAGGAUAGACGGAGAAAGCGGAAUUCCAUGUGUAGCGGUGAAAUGCGUAGAUACAUGGAGGAACACCGGUGGCGAAGGCGGCUUUCUAGUUUAUUCCUGACGCUAAAGCGCGAAAGCAAGGGGAGCAAACAGG